CGGGAGGCAAGCAGUGGGAAUAUGCGCAAUGGGGGAAAGCCUGACGCAUGCACGCUGCGUGGCGGAUGACGGCUUGGGUGUAAACGUCUUUCAGCAGGCGAAGAAGCCUUGGGCGACGGUGCUGCGAAGAAGCACCGGCAACUAAGUGCCAGCAGCAGCGGUAAUACGUAGGGUGCACGCGUUGUCAGAAUUAUCGAGCGUAAAGAGCUAGUAAGCGGUUCGUCGUGUGGUCUGUAAAAACCGAGCAUCAACCUCGGGCCAACAUUCGAUAUGGAAGGUCCGGAGUUGGGCAGGGGUGACUGGCAUUCGUGGUGUAUUGGUGAAAUGUCCAGAUAUCAGGAGGAACACCGGUGGCGAAGGCGGGCCUCUGCGCUGAUACUGACAUGAGGAGUGAAAGCGUGGGGAGGGAACAGGAUUAGAUAUUCUGGUAGUCCACACCGUAAUCGUUGGGCGAUAGGUGUGGGGCCCAUUCCCCGGUCUCGUUGCCGCAGUUCAAGCAUUAAGCGCCCCGCACGGGGAGUAUGGCCGCAAGGCUAAAACUCAAAGGAAUUGACGGGGGCCCGCCCAAGCGGCGGAGCAUGUUGCUUAAUUCGAUGCAACGUGAAGAACCUUACGUCGGCUUGACCUGCACGGAAAUCUCCCAGAGAUGGGGGGCGCCUUUGGCGUCGUGCACAGGUGGUGCAUGGUUGUCGUCAGCUCGUGUCGUGAGAUGUUGGGUUAAGUCCCGCAACGAGCGCAACCCUCGUCCUAUGUUGCCAGCGGGUUAUGCCGGGGACUCAUAGGAGCCUGCCGGGGUCAACUCGGAGGAAGGUGGGGAUGACGUCAAAUCAUCAUGCCCCUUAUGUCUAGGGCCGCAAACAUGGUACAAUGGCCGGUACAAAGGGCUGCGAUACCGCGAGGUGGAGCGAAUCCCAAAAAGCCGGUCUCAGUUCGGAUUGGGGUCUGCAACCCGACCCCAUGAAGUUGGAGUCGCUAGUAAUCGCAGAUCAGCAACGCCGCGGUGAAUACGUUCCCGGG
rnacentral:rRNA from 1 species